UCCGUCGAUCCUAAUCUGAUUCCAAUCACUCCCAGUCAGUAAAUUCAUUAUUUUUUCUAUGAAGUGGCAAUUCAUAAUUAAUUUUUAGGGUUCAGAUUAAUUUCAGUUUAUUCUGCUUCCUUGGACCAUCCGGCUCGUCUCCAACGAGCGUCCAACCAUAUUGUCGAUGGUCGACACGUGGGAUCCAAUAAAUCCGACGGCUCAGCGACUUCUACGAUGCGUCUGUUAUUCCGAGGGUAAAUUCUCAGAAAAUCUAUUGCUUCCACGGCCGCCGGAAAAGCAGUACACAAGACCGUCUCUUACUGGGUUGAUGAUCUCGUCGUCGGAUAAUGUAAAUUGAAGCAUACCUGAAUGGAUUAGAAAUCGAAGCAUAAUUUGUACGGAAGGUUUCAUUUCCAUCUUGUGUUGUUUCUUUGAUUCGAGUUUAGUGUAUCUUUGGUGUUGGUUUGAAGUUUGAUGGUUCAGUUGAUAAAUACGGGUAAUCUCCGAUCGGAAUCAGAGAUAGCAUGUGGGAAUAAGUUGCCGGUGAAAUUGGAGAUUGAAGAUCCCUUGGAUGAAGAGCACGGACCUCUCAACAAGCGAUCCAAGCUCUUACCUUCUCGUCAGCAGAAGAGAGAAAGGAGGGAGAAGAAGAAGAUGUGAAACUCCGAAUCAGAUCAAAAACCUCUACGUUUUGGGGUGGUAUUUUUAGACCCUAGAUCCAAGUACUGCAAGUUAAUGCAAUUCCUCAAACCGUCUGCAAUGGUUCCGUUGGAAGAGGAAGGUGAAGGACUCCGGUGCCGCUGGAGGAAGGUUUCUGUCGUUCAUCGCCUCUGCAAUCGUUCAGCAAAAGGAGAGGCAGGAGGAGAGACAGGUGACGAGCCGUCGGAUUUUUUGGAAUCCACAUGUCGAUCGGUGAAAUUGUUGAACGCUCAUUGGACCAUCAGUCGUUGGAAACGAGCCGGAUCCAUGCUUGUGUGAGAAUAGUCAACACCUUUCAUAUUUUCUGUCUUGUUCCUAUCAUCAGGAGUUGUGAUAAAAAAAUAAUAAAAUAAAAGAAUCUCUGCACCAACUAAA